rnacentral:rRNA from 1 species
UACGUAGGGGGCGAGCGUUGUCCGGAAUCAUUGGGCGUAAAGCGCGUGUAGGCGGCUCGAUAAGUCCGGUGUGAAACCUUGGGGCUCAACCCCAAGCCUGCACUGGAUACUGCCGAGCUAGAGUCCGGGAGGGGAGAGCGGAAUCCUAGUGUAGCGGUGAAAUGCGCAGAUAUCAGGAAGAACACCCGUGGCUAAGGCGGCUCUCUAGUACGGUACUGACGCUGAGGCACGAAGCGUGGGAGCAACAGG